rnacentral:rRNA from 1 species
GACGAACGCUGGCGGCGCGCCUAACACAUGCAAGUCGAACGGAGCUUAGAGAGCUUGCUUUUUAAGCUUAGUGGCGAACGGGUGAGUAACGCGUGAGUAACCUGCCCUAGAGUGGGGGACAACAGUUGGAAACGACUGCUAAUACCGCAUAAGCCCACGGUACCGCAUGGCACUGAGGGAAAAGGAUUUAUUCGCUUUAGGAUGGACUCGCGUCCAAUUAGCUAGUUGGUGAGGUAAUGGCCCACCAAGGCGACGAUUGGUAGCCGGACUGAGAGGUUGAACGGCCACAUUGGGACUGAGACACGGCCCAGACUCCUACGGGAGGCAGCAGUGGGGGAUAUUGCACAAUGGGGGAAACCCUGAUGCAGCGACGCCGCGUGGAGGAAGAAGGUUUUCGGAUUGUAAACUCCUGUCGUUAGGGACGAUAAUGACGGUACCUAACAAGAAAGCACCGGCUA